CUAAAAUAGAAAUGUAAAAAAAAAAAAAAUAUUGUUGCAGAAAAAACAAUUUAUAUUUGUGGAGAACAUUCUCUCUAUCAUUCAUUGAUUGAUUAUUAUAACGUCAUAUGGUUGCCAAAUAGUUCCCAUAUGUUAAUAACGUCAUAUGGCUGACAAAUUAGUUCCCAUAUGUAUGUAGGGACUAGGGACCCCAUAUGUAACUGCGCAGAAAUUCAUUUAACUUUUCGAGUAAGCAAGGUAGUUGACCAUAAAUUAUACAGUUAUAUAAAUAAAGACUAAAGAGUUUAUAGUUUUCAUAGGAAACCAAGACUUAGGCCAAGAACAUACGUACUAGAUAUGGGAAAUUGUUGCUCCGGACUUUGUAGUGACGAUUCAGAUGGAAAUCAAGGUCAUCAUGGUGGGGGUGGAGUAGGUGGCGGAGCAGGUGGCGGCGGAGGCUGUGGAGGUGGAGGCGGUGGCGGAGGCUGUGGAGGUGGAGGCGGUGGCGGUGGCUGCUAGAUUAUGAUAAACAGGUUGAAUAUGGGGUUAGAAGAAAGCUGAUGCUUGAAGCAAGAUAUUAAUUUUCUUUAGGAAUUUAUCAUUAGAUUUCUUCCAUGUACUCUUGUUUAAUCAACUUGAUGAACUAAUGUUAUGUUUAGUCUUAUGCUCAUGAAUUCAGACUUAUGUAUUUCUAUUUUUGGAUUUCUAGUGCUUAUGUAUUAAUUCAAACAAAUUUGUUUGUAAUUCUAAUGUAUUCAGUACAACUAGUUGGGUUUAUUAGGCGUAA